UGUUGAUCUGCCGGAGACGAGAAGCACAUCAGUUAGCCCGCCAAACCGCCUUCGGACCGACCGUACCGUCGGGCGAAAUGAAAGUGCGCGUUUUGCGUAGCUACUUACGUUGUCGAGACCGAAACUCUGCAGGUCGUGAACUGCAAAGAAACACAAGCCGUUUCAGUGACGAUGUCAAUGGUCAUUCACGGAUCUGUGCUUUCAGGAGUUCAGGAGCAACGAAAGCAAACGUCACGUUUAGUUUUUUUUUGUCCAUUGCGAAACGAUAUCGCUGUCGAAUUAAAAACGCAAACUGUGCCGUCGGGCUGAAUUGAAAUUGGGUGCAAGUGGUGCAGAGAGAAUAGGAUUUGCCAAGUGUGAAACAGUAGAAAGAGGGUUUUAGUGCUUUUGAUUUGUGCUUCUUCACCAAAUAAAUGUGAACUGCAGGUGAAAUCAAACAGUCACAAGCUGAUUAUUUUGCUAAAGACAAAUUUUAAAAGCAACAGAAUGCUCAAACAGUUUAGUGGUGUCUUUUUCACAGUUAAGUAACAGGGUAAAUGCAGACUUGGUCAGAAUGGCAUUAAAUAAUUAAGUACUUUUUGAGUUUUAUUUUUUUGAAGUGACUGACAAUAAUUUGCGGGGGAUAUUAUGGGUUUUUACAAAUAAUUCUUUUAAAAAUGGGAAAAAAAUAGAUCAACUUACUUUCCACAGCGUGCACUGCGGAAAGAAGAGAAAUAAGGUCACUAUGAGGCGCACGGCAUGGGGAAAACAGAAACCCCCCGCCCAGGAGCACAGUGGGUCAGUCCUGUUUUUACUGAGAAUCCCACUGCAAAGGAUCCGCCAUCAUGGCCUGUUCCAAUGCAGAGCUGGGGGGGGGGGGGGGCUCAGUAAAAUCAGGUCUCUUUAUGUCUUCAAGGGCAGCGGGAAGUUUAAGGGGGGCAGAGUGGGGGGGGGUCCAGAUUAAAGCUGUGGAAACAGACCAUUCCCCUGUUAGCUUUUUGGCAGUCUGCACAAGGCUAGCUUCUCAGAAGAACGGGGAGGUCACCACACACUGGUUAAGCCAGCGUCCGCUCAGACCACGACGGGUAUGAUGGGUCCACCAGGCUACUGAGUCCGAACUGCAACUCUGUACACUUCGGUGCUUUUGCAGACCAGUUGCUCACUUCAAGCCUUCAGCUUGCAACAGAGUGGACUGUGUAUACCUUGUUACUUAAUUCAACAUUGAUUUGAGUGACCCUAAUGAUUAUCUGCAGCAGCCCUUUAAAAAGAAAAGAAAAAAAGAAACCGCACCGUCACAUCACAGAGCAGAUUCACAAAUGAGUAACUCGGCUGGAAGUGGAAUCGGAUCUGAGGAUUUGUGAAUAGGAUUCAACUUCACUUCUGUCUCUAAUUCUGGGGCCCCCAGCCCUGGCCCAGGAGAGCCGCAGGUACUGCUGGGUUUUACUUCCACAUUAAAAUCAGACAAACCAAGCCUUAAUACAAAGUUGUCCUCCUUUGUGAAUCUGCCACUAAGUGACUCAUUUACUGAGGCCAGUCAGCAUUGUAACAGAUUGUAGAUUUUAGCCUCUUGUGUUUAAAAGCAGGUAGCUACAAGCUUAAAUAUAAACACAGUGUUAGGUAGCCCUUUAACUUUAGUGUUGUGUGACGGAAACAUGCAGGAGAAUCGUUUAUUGCACCCUAUUAAUUUGCGGCGCUGGAAUCUACCACAAUCUGAUUGGACGAACAGCAGAAUGUUAGAGAAGCGGAUAGGAAGAAGGGUUAAAUAAGAUUCCUGGGUACU